rnacentral:rRNA from 1 species
UGCCAGCCGCCGCGGUAAUACGGAGGGGGUUAGCGUUGUUCGGAAUUACUGGGCGUAAAGCGCGCGUAGGCGGAUUAGUAAGUCAGAGGUGAAAUCUUGCCGCUUAACGGUAAAAUUGCCAUUGAAACUGAAGUUCUUGAAUGUAGUUGAGGUAGGCGGAAAGUGUUGUGUAGCGGUGAAAUGCAUAGAUAUGACACAGAACGCCAAUUGCGAAGGCAGCUUACUAAGCUACGAUUGACGCUGAGGCACGAAAGCGUGGGGAGCGAACAGGAUUAGAUA